rnacentral:rRNA from 1 species
CCUACGGGUGGCAGCAGUGGGGAAUAUUGGACAAUGGGCGCAAGCCUGAUCCAGCAACGCCGCGUGGAGGACGAAGGUCUUCGGAUCGUAAACUCCUGUCAGGUGGGACGCGGUACCACCAGAGGAAGCCCCGGCUAACUCCGUGCCAGCAGCCGCGGUAAUACGGAGGGGGCGAGCGUUAUUCGGAAUUAUUGGGCGUAAAGGGCGCGUAGGCGGCUCGAUAAGUCAAAGGUGAAAUCCCUCGGCUCAACUGAGGAACUGCCUUUGAAACUGUCGAGCUUGAGUCCGGGAGGGGGUAGCGGAAUUCCCAGUGUAGCGGUGAAAUGCGUAGAUAUUGGGAGGAACACCAGUGGCGAAGGCGGCUACCUGGACCGGACUGACGCUGAGGCGCGAAAGCGUGGGUAGCAAACAGGAUUAGAUACCCUAGUAGUC